rnacentral:rRNA from 1 species
GGGGGCUAGCGUUGCUCGGAAUUACUGGGCGUAAAGGGCGCGUAGGCGGAUGUUUAAGUCAGUGGUGAAAGCCCAGGGCUCAACCUUGGAACUGCCAUUGAUACUGGACAUCUUGAGUGCGGGAGAGGUGAGUGGAACACCGAGUGUAGAGGUGAAAUUCGUAGAUAUUCGGUAGAACACCAGUGGCGAAGGCGACUCACUGGCCCGUAACUGACGCUGAUGCGCGAAAGCGUGGGGAGCAAACAGG